AUAGAUAUACAAGGUGAUCCUUGUGCUAAUAAACGUGUGUUACUUCUCGUGUGAUCCAUUUUUGAAGCUAUAUAAUUCAGCAAGGAAUCUAACUGGAAGUGAAACGUAUAACGCAUUUGCUGUUCUGACAGGAAAAGAGUGAGUAACUCUUCAGAAAACAUAAGCAGAGAACAUUCAGGAAUGAUUAAGCACAGCCCCCGAUUUUCGCUAUGAGUGACAGGAUAGGUACGAAAAAUAACAUGAGAUUUGAAGCAAGAAAUUGAGCAUAUAAUCCCGAAAUACAUAUCUCCUGGGAAGACCAUUAAAGUGAGUUUCCAGCAAUCACUGUCACCUACAUCGUGAUGAACAGCACACCAAGAGUAUCUGCUACACCGUUUUGCAAUGUAUACGUUUUCAUUUCACAUGAAGGUGUAAAAUACUACAUUUGAGACAUUCUUUUAAUGCAAACUUUACUGAAACUUCCUAAGGGUAAAGUAAAUCGAAAAUGGCGGGUUAUACCACAAACCCGGAAUUAAAUGCAAUUUCACCAUAGAAAUAUUUGCCUUGAAUACUCUAUUGUGUGUUCAGUAGCAACCUUUUACGGAAAUGAUGUCUCUGUAAAUUAUACCCGAGAGAAAUUAGCUAAAACAUUAGUAAAGACUUCUAUUAAAAUAUGUUGAGCUUAUUUACUCCAACAUCGAAUGGAAGGCUACCCUGAAUACGGAAAUAAAACUGGAUACACAGAAAUGCUCUUAAACUCUUUUAUGAUGUUAGUUUUUAAUUCAGAAACUAGCCUGAAACUAUUCAGCUCCUUAGGCCCGAAUCAAUAAACUUUAUCUAAGUCUAAACAAAUUAAAGUCAGCUAUAUUUUCGUUUGUCAUACUACCCGAUUUUAAUUGUACAUCGCAUUAGGGGUUAAAUUUGGCGCCUUACUUAAUUAAACAUACUCUUAUCUUUGGCGACAUCGAACUUCCGCAUAAUACAACUAGAUAGGAAUGAAUUCAAUUGUUUAUUGGAAGUGCCUCUCACUUUCCAACACAUUAUUGCAAACUCUAAAGUAAUUUGCUAAUGUAAUCUUGAAAAUUAGUUGAGAACAAAUUCAAGUCUAUUCAAUUAUAAA